UGGCAAGAUGACCGAGUGGUUAAGGUGCUACGUUUAGGCCGUAGUGGCGUCGCCGCGUGGGUUCGAAUCCCACUCUUGUCAU